AGGAUUAUGGCUCAGUCAGAGGGUGUUUGCCUAGCAUGCAUGAAACCCUGGGUUCAAUCCCCAGAAUCCUA
rnacentral:tRNA from 1 species